CCUACGGGUGGCUGCAGUGGGGAAUAUUGGACAAUGGGGGAAACCCUGAUCCAGCGACGCCGCGUGAGUGAAGAAGUAUUUCGGUACGUAAAGCUCUAUCAGCAGGAAAGAAAAUGACGGUACCUGACUAAGAAGCCCCGGCUAACUACGUGCCAGCAGCCGCGGUAAUACGUAGGGGGCAAGCGUUAUCCGGAUUUACUGGGUGUAAAGGGAGCGUAGACGACAGCGCAAGUCUGGAGUGAAAUGCCGGGGCCCAACCCCGGAACUGCUCUGGAAACUGUGAAGCUGGAGUGCUGGAGAGGCAAGCGGAAUUCCUAGUGUAGCGGUGAAAUGCGUAGAUAUUAGGAAGAACACCAGUGGCGAAGGCGGCUUGCUGGACAGUAACUGACGUUGAGGCUCGAAAGCGUGGGGAGCAAACAGGAUUAGAUACCCGUGUAGUC
rnacentral:rRNA from 1 species